UGGUAUUCUCACUGCCUAUUGUCA
rnacentral:piRNA from 1 species